GACUUUCUGGUCUGUAACUGACGCUGAUGUGCGNAGCGUGGGGAUCAAACAGGAUUAGAUACCCUGGUAGUCCACGCCGUAAACGAUGAGUGCUAAGUGUUAGGGGGUUUCCGCCCCUUAGUGCUGCAGCUAACGCAUUAAGCACUCCGCCUGGGGAGUACGACCGCAAGGUUGAAACUCAAAGGAAUUGACGGGGACCCGCANNGCGGUGGAGCAUGUGGUUUAAUUCGAAGCAACGCGAAGAACCUUACCAAAUCUUGACAUCCUCUGACCCCUCUAGAGAUAGAGUUUUCCCCUUCGGGGGACAGAGUGACAGGUGGUGCAUGGUUGUCGUCAGCUCGUGUCGUGAGAUGUUGGGUUAAGUCCCGCAACGAGCGCAACCCUUAAGCUUAGUUGCCAUCAUUAAGUUGGGCACUCUAAGUUGACUGCCGGUGACAAACCGGAGGAAGGUGGGGAUGACGUCAAAUCAUCAUGCCCCUUAUGAUUUGGGCUACACACGUGNUACAAUGGACAAUACAAAGGGUAGCGAAACCGCGAGGUCAAGCAAAUCCCAUAAAGUUGUUCUCAGUUCGGAUUGUAGUCUGCAACUCGACUAUAUGAAGCUGGAAUCGCUAGUAAUCGUAGAUCAGCAUGCUACGGUGAAUACGUUCCCGGGUCUUGUACACACCGCCCGUCACACCACGAGAGUUUGUAACACCCGAAGCCGGUGGAGUAA
rnacentral:rRNA from 1 species